GCAGAAAAGAAGGCCAAUCACUUAACGCAAUGGGCGGGUCAUUGACAGCCUCUCCCGCUCAGGAGGAGAGGCUUAAAGUAGAUAUGCAAGCCAUUGGAUACCACAAGAGAAGCGCCUCAAGGUAGGGAGCAGGCAUUGGCCAUCACAAGAGGCGGGGCUUCAGCGGGAACGUCGGCCAUUGGCUAUCGAAAGAAGAGCGAUACAACAUAAAACAGGGACGGGCGAUUGCCAGCUCGAGGAGGCGGGACUUAGAGGAAGGGGCAGGCUCCGGGGGAGCUCUUAGUAUAAACAGCCACAAAAUGCACAAAAUAGUUAUUUCUUCACUUAGUUAAAAACUUAACUGAGUACCUACUAUAUGCCAGGGCCCCAAAACGCCACACAGACCUAUUCAUUCAUUCAAGAAAAAUGUACUGAAUACCGUGGGGCCGAGUCACUUGAUUGUCCUGGGCUUCGCUCUCUGCACUUGGAAGAUGGGGCCCAUAAUGAUUGUGAGGACCCUGCUCUAGACUGAGCCCGGCAACAGGAAAUACAGGAAGUAUUAGAAGCUAUAACUCGGCCGGACGCGAUGGCUCACGGCUGUAACCCCGGCACUUUGAGAGGACGAAGCGGGCGGAUCACGAGAGACGAGGUUUUGCCAUGUUGCCAGGCUGGUCUCCAACUUCUGGGAUCAAGCAAUCCUUCCGCUUGAGCCUCCAAAGUGCUGUGAUUGCAGGCGUGAGCCACCGCGCCUAGUUUAGGUUGAGCAGCGAAAGGGAUAGGGCCCAGUGCUUUCUCUGCGAGGUUCAGUUGGCCUGUCCCUGUCCUAUCACCGUUUGUCACCGUUUGGGGAGCGCCACGGAAUGCCCUGUCUCCAAUCGAGAGGUGCACUCGUCGCCCUGGCAACGGAGUCCG
rnacentral:lncRNA from 1 species